rnacentral:misc_RNA from 1 species
CUCAGGACUUGCCCUAUUGUUAAAUCGAUCAGAUUUCAUCUUAAUAUUUCAUUUAUGAUCGCUUAAGAUGUUCCUCAAAUAAAGUUUUGUUUAUUUUUCCUACAUUUAAUGUGCGGAUUAAUAGAAAUUAGCAUCUUUAAAACGUUAAUCGUUUGAAACUUACGUGUGCAAUUUGGUAAUUUGUGAUUGUAGAAGAAAUACGUUUAAAAAACAUCGAAGUGCUGACAUUCUGUUUUUGAAGUCGAAUUUUGGAUAUAUUGUCAAGAUGCCUCGCUCGAUACGGUCGGCCCGGUCUAACUCCAUCUGCAGCGUGACUUCUGAGAGCGGCCGUGGUGCAAAACUUGAUGAACUCUUAGCAUCCCGUGUGAAGAUGGGAAAGAAGGUGGAGAAAGGUUUAAACAAGGAGAAAAACCAAUCUGCAACCAGCCAGGAUGAAUUGGAUUCAAAUAAAGCUCUUGAACCACAUGUGUGCACGGGAAACUUUUCAGCCGACUUCAGCGAGUUGUGCCGCCGGAACAACAUGACCUUUAUUCCACCUGUGAUAAUGCGUCCACGACCGCCAGCUCCUGUGGUACAACAGGAAGUCAGUCCAGCAAAAGGGGGCAAGGACAAAGGUAAACCAUCAGUCACACAACCAGAACCCGAACAGGAGGAAAAUGCAGAGGAUGGAGAGCCUGUAGAUGCACCACCGAAAACUUUCACAACUAAAGACAAGUUUGAAUAUUUCAAGCCAUCAAUACAAGUUGAAAUGGAUAACCAGGAUAAGCCUGACACAGUCAAUGAAAUAUUUAUCAGAGGAUGGAAAGUUGACACAGUCAUGAUGGAUAUAUUUAAACAGUGCUGGCCAACCAUGGAAAAGUUACACUCUAUCAAUUUAUGGAACACGGGAUUAAAUGAUGACACGCUACAUACACUAUCAACGAUUCUGCCGCAGUGUCCAAAUAUAAAAAAUGUGACUUUAGAUGGUAAUGCUACAGAAAAAGAAGACUGGUUUGAGUUGAUCACAGAGGAGAGCCCUGUACAGAAUUUAUCAUUGCGUCAUUGUGGAAUUACCAAUAAAGGGGCAAAAAUGAUUGGUCGAUGUCUUGGUAGUGCCAAACGUGCAAAUACAAAGCUUCUUACCUUAAAUUUGAGUAAUAACAAAAUCGGAGAGGAAGGAUUGGAAGAAAUUGCACAGGGACUCAGAUUGAACAGGACACUUUUGUCAUUGUCACUUGCAAGCAAUGAGAUUAGAGACAAAGGAGUUGUCAAGCUUUCAGAGGUUCUGUCCAGAUUUCCACUGACACAUGAGGAAGUUGUUGAACGCAGGAAGCUUAUGUCAGACAGAAGUUCCCCAGACAGAAAUAAAUCUCCCCCACUCAGCCGGCGGGCCGACUCCAAGGACCGACCAGGCAGUGUCAGAAGUAGCACUCACCAAGACAAGGGUGGUAAGAAAAAUGAGAAACCCUCAGCAAAAGCCAAAAAGGAUGGAAAAGGGGGGAAGGAGGAGAAAGAGGAGAAACAUGAGAAAACGAAAGGAAAGAAAGAAAAAGAAGACAAAGCUGGAGCUAAGAAAGACCAUUUAAAAGUUCCCUCUCAUGGUCACCGACCAGGCAGCCCUGGUAAACAUUUUGACCAUGGUCAUCAUAGUGUCGGAGCAAAUGUUGGAGGUCGCAGUUCUGGAGAUAUGCAAAAUGGCAAUACUAGUAGAAGGGCAGUCCCUGGCAGCAGAUGCUAAAGGCAAGGGAAAUAAAACUAAAGGGAAAGAAAAAGGCGGGAAACCUGCUCAGGAACAGGAGCCUGCAGACAGUCCAGACUUUAUAAACCCUCUACUAGAAGGUGCAGAUUAUAUAGAUGGUCGUCUGUGGGUGGCAGGAAACAGAGUGCUCAUCAACUUGAACCUUUCAA